AACGAACGCUGGCGGCAGGCUUAACACAUGCAAGUCGAACGCCCCGCAAGGGGAGUGGCAGACGGGUGAGUAACGCGUGGGAAUCUACCCUUCACUACGGAACAACUCCGGGAAACUGGAGCUAAUACCGUAUACGUCCUUCGGGAGAAAGAUUUAUCGGUGAUGGAUGAGCCCGCGUUGGAUUAGCUAGUUGGUGGGGUAAAGGCCUACCAAGGCGACGAUCCAUAGCUGGUCUGAGAGGAUGAUUAGCCACAUUGGGACUGAGACACGGCCCAAACUCCUACGGGAGGCAGCAGUGGGGAAUAUUGGACAGUGGGCGAAAGCCUGAUCCAGCCAUGCCGCGUGAGUGAUGACGGCCCUAGGGUUGUAAAGCUCUUUCACCGAUGAGGAUAGUGACGGUAGUCGGAGAAGAAGGCCCGGCUAACUUCGUGCCAGCCGCCGCAGUAACAC
rnacentral:rRNA from 1 species